AGGUGCCCGCGAGGGAGAAUAGGGAAUCAGGUGCGAAUCCUGAGCGGUCCCGCCACUGUGACCGGGGAGUGAACCCGCGCGAUCCACUGGCCGACGCCGGGAAGGGCGGGGGGAGCGGUGAUCCGGAAGCCAGGAGACCUGCCUGCCGG
rnacentral:ncRNA from 1 species